GAUGAAGAACGUAGCGAAAUGCGAUACGUAAUGUGAAUUGCAGAAUUCAGUGAAUCAUCGAAUCUUUGAACGCACAUUGCGCCCGCUAGUAUUCUGGCGGGCAUGCCUGUCCGAGCGUCAUUUCAACCCUCAAGCCCCCGGGCUUGGUGUUGGGGAUCGGCGAGCCUCCGCGCCCGCCGUCCCCUAAAUCUAGUGGCGGUCUCGCUGUAGCUUCCUCUGCGUAGUAGCACACCUCGCACUGGGAAACAGCGCGGCCACGCCGUUAAACCCCCAACUUCUGAACGUUUGACCUCGGAUCAGGUAGGAAUACCCGCUGAACUUAAGCAUAUCAAUAAGCGGAGGA
rnacentral:misc_RNA from 1 species